UUUGGGGCCACGCGGCGGCACCAGUCGCUCUUCUCAAACCGCGAAACACGUCCCGGCCUCCUCGAGGACGAGCUUCCAGUUCUAUAUCCUUCUAUCCCUGUUUCUCGCUCUCUCUCCUCUCUUUCGUUCUCUCUGUAUUCGUCGCGAGUCAUCGUAUGACCGUCUUGUGUACGUGUGUCAGGUGAAUAUUCAGGAACCAUCCUGCUCCCUCUUCGUCCCGCCGCGUUUCCGGAAGUCUAAGCUCAAACGGAACCCCGCAUAAAAUACCCCUGCGAAAACAAGGACGGAGAGCUAGCCUGAAUGUUUCUUCGACGAGAUUCAGCGGAAACCUGCUGGUUCCUUAGCUGUUCGAGGAGCUGAAAUACACCGACGACCUUGGGAAGGACCAAACUCGAGGAAAGUCUCGGAGGAAGAAGAAAAAGAAGGAAAAUCGAUCCUGAAGAAACUUUCUUCUCCCGAGGUGGUUCUUGUGUACUCCUUUUGGAAGUUCAGUUUCCUAUCGAGUUACGUUCGUGAAUUAUUGACCGCAGGGUGUUAAAUACGAUCACAUGGAUGUAUAUUACGGUAGCAGUAGGGUCAACGUGUUAAUUAAGGAUCAUACAUUCGCGGUGGUGACUGCAGUGUUAGCGUUCUCUGUGCUAAGUAAAUAUCCAUUCGAAUUGUACGGUAUCCACGCUCACGAUUACCCCGGACUGAAUUAUUUUCCGGGAUUAAUUGUGCGUACUUAAUUUGAACCUUGGCUGAAACGAUAAAUCUGCCGACGCUGGAUCCACCUCUUGGGGUUAGGUUCAUGCUGAACAGAAUCUGCAGGAUUCGGAUACCAGAUCAGCAAGAAGACAGUGUCGUCCGCCUAAGCCUGUCUAAUGUAACCACCUUGGAAAGCUAAGAUCGACGAGGCUAUGAAUAUCGAGUAACCCGGCCGGUAGAUGUCGUAGAAUCUUGGUUAGAAAUCGGCCGAGUUGCGGUUCCCGCGGGAAGAUGAGAGGCCGGACGGGAAUCGGUCGGAAGAAACGCGGCGUCGACGGAUCGGCGACCUGACGAGAAGCUGGCAACGAUCGAAGGGGACGAUUAAAGCUUCGUUUGUGGAAAAAAUGAACGAAAGCGCGGUCUAUCUGCUCGGAUCGGAAGAAGAGGCAAUCGUACCGAGCAAUCAUUUGAACAGAAGCUUCUACAACGCGGUAUAUCCGGCACAGAAUCGUACAUACGAGGAUCUGUGGAACUUGGCAACGGACAGAGCCGGUCUGGCGAUACUCUUGUUCCUGUUCUCGGUAGCCACUGUGUUUGGUAACAUGCUGGUAAUCCUAGCUGUGGUCAGAGAGAGAUAUCUUCACACGGCUACCAAUUACUUCGUCACGUCGUUGGCGUUCGCCGAUUGUCUAGUCGGAUUGGUGGUGAUGCCGUUCAGCGCGAUUUACGAGGUCCUGGAGAAUCGUUGGUUGUUCACGACCGAUUGGUGCGACGUAUGGAGAUCGUUGGACGUUCUAUUCUCGACCGCCUCGAUCCUCAAUCUCUGCGUGAUCAGUUUGGAUCGUUAUUGGGCGAUCACCGAUCCGUUCACUUAUCCAAGUAGAAUGAGCCGUAAAAGAGCGGCUAUAUUGAUCGCGAUCGUAUGGAUCUGUUCGAGCGCGAUCUCGUUUCCAGCGAUCGCUUGGUGGCGCGCGGUCCGAACCGAAGAGGUGCCGGAGGACAAAUGCCCGUUCACCGAACACUUGGGUUACUUGAUCUUCUCGUCGACCAUCAGUUUCUAUUUGCCGCUGUUCGUGAUGGUUUUCACCUACUACAAGAUCUACAGAGCGGCUGUGUUCCAGACCAAGAGCCUGAAGCUAGGCACCAAACAGGUGAUAAUGGCGUCCGGUGAACUGGAACUUACUCUGAGGAUACAUCGAGGAGGCGGUACGAACACGGAUGCCAGGCAUCUGUUCCGUACUGCCUCGAGCACACCGGAGGAUCUACAAGAUCUCGAGGAGCCUCUCACAGCCAUGCACAAUAACUGUCUGACCCGGGUGCCGUCCACGAGGAUAACCAAACAACAUCUGGGAAAAAACUUCUCGCUGUCGCGGAAACUGGCGAAAUUCGCGAAGGAGAAGAAAGCCGCCAAGACGCUUGGCAUCGUGAUGGGCGUGUUCAUCAUAUGUUGGCUACCGUUCUUCGUGGUGAAUCUGUGGUCAGGAUUCUGCUCCCAGUGUAUAUGGCAAGAGGAGAUCGUGUUCGCGGCGGUUACGUGGCUCGGCUGGAUCAACAGCGGAAUGAAUCCGGUGAUUUACGCUUGUUGGAGCAGAGAUUUUCGAAGAGCUUUCGUGAGAAUCUUGUGCGCCUGCUGUCCCAGACGGAUGAGACGGCGAUAUCAGCCCGCAUUCAGAUGUAAACCAAGUCAAAGAUUCGCAUCCGGAAGAUACUACUCCGCGUACUCGUUGCACCACGUUCGAGGGAGCCGAGAGAGCUCGUGCGAGCAAACCUACAUUUAACGAUGGGAUAUCGUUGGAAUCGUUGGAAUCGUUGGACACCUACUCGAAAGCAUCUUUCUAGUAUCUCAUUCUUGUCCCCCCGUCCUUGGGCAUCGAAAUUUCGUCAGUCCCGAGACAACCCUGUCCCUUGUAAUCGCCCGGAGACACAUUUAGUAAAGAGAGAUACCUAUCGGCGAGAAGGACUCUAUCACCAUCCCGUAAUCAUACAUAGUUUUGUACGUUUCCGGAGCGAAUACCGGCGGCCAGGCGAGCAGCGUCAGCUACAGCAGCGUCAGUCAGAGUAGCGACGGAGGAGUCGCGACUGGACUACCCAGCGGAGGGAUGUGACGUCACACGGGGGCCCGGCCCGGGCCUCGUCGCGAACGCGCGAUCCGUUUCCGGGAUACGUGAUUGUAGACUAAUUUUCGAUUUAAACCUGGAUUAAACUCCUACGAAUGGUUCAGGUCGAGAAGGCAGGAAGAAACUAAAUGGAAUCCCGAAGCGACAACAGCUCACCGGUCCCCCCUCCUCCUCCUUCUAAUCAAAGGACAAACCGAGAGCUGGUGCGGAGACAUCACGAAAUCACCCUUACGUAUUUAUUAUCCUAUCGUCGAGUUUUACGUGACGAAAAGUGGACCAUGAGGUAGCGUGACGAGCAACACGCUAUACCCUUGUUUCGCUCGUUGUAUAUGUACAUAGAAGCAACAUAGUUUCGCGUUUUGUACCUCCGACGAGAAAAGGAUCUAGGGAAUCGAAUUGCGGACGACGGCGCCGUAAAUCGAGCCAAAUCGGUCGUUUCUGUUUUUACGUUCGGAUAUCUUCGACACUUUGUAGCCUCUUAGCUAACCACCAUAAAUCGUUCCAUCGACAGAUGCAACAUCGGUGCAACAAGAAACAUCGCGGCGAUUUUUGCGUACGUUGCACGUCAUUUAUCUUUUUUCUUAUUUUUUUUUUUUUUUUUUCUUUGCUCCUAUACGUCCCGUUCCUAAGGGAGUCGAGUGUGGUGAAAAGACUGACAAUCGAAAGCCGUCGAACGAAAUUGAUCGCCGUAGUCGUUCCCCGUGCAUAUUUACGACAAGACUAAUGUAGCGUGAAACAAGUACCAAGGCCGAUGUAACUUAAUCAACGGAUGCAAUAACAAGGUCGUAGACUAGGUAAUAUUAAACAACAUUAUUUCGAAAUAAUUGACGGUGGUUGAUUGUUUGCUGUCGCAAGUUCAAUUUCGAACGCGUUGUUUCAACUCAUUGAACGUUUCAACGUCUAACCUACUGCUUGUUUACGAAUCAAUUCCGUUCGAUUACCGUGAUAGACAAUCUUUAUUCGAUCAAGAAAUAAUACUUCCUCGUCUACUUGAUAGAUGGCGCUGAAUAUUUUUGCGAUAUUGUAUUAUUUUUAUGAAAGUUAACACAUGCAUCUAUCGGUGUAUAUACAACAUUGCCAUGUAAUUGUAAAUAUUAGAAUAUCGUAAAGUUAGCUAUUUAAAACGUAUAAAUGUAUGAAACAUUGUAAAAAUGCGCGUGCUCAACAGAAAUACACGCACAUGCUUGUUCGAGUAAAAAUAAAUUCAGUAUUAUUACGUAUUGAUUCUAUCCUGUCGUAUUAAAGCGUCAUACUAAAAAUUACAAUAAAUGUGAAAAAAAUCUAUCGGUGAUUCAGUUUCGAUUCUGAAUUCGCUUAUUUUUAGCUGCGUUACAUUUAUUCUUUACGUGUAAGACUAAACAUAAGCAGAAUCAUGGAAAAAAAA